UACGUAGGGUGCAAGCGCUGUCCGGAAUUAUUGGGCGUAAAGAGCUCGUAGGCGGUCUGUUGCGUCGGCUGUGAAAACCCGGGGCUCAACCCCGGGCCUGCAGCCGAUACGGGCAGACUAGAGUUCGGCAGGGGAGACUGGAAUUCCUGGUGUAGCGGUGAAAUGCGCAGAUAUCAGGAGGAACACCGGUGGCGAAGGCGGGUCUCUGGGCCGAUACUGACGCUGAGGAGCGAAAGCGUGGGGAGCAAACAGG
rnacentral:rRNA from 1 species